rnacentral:tRNA from 1 species
GCUGGCAUAGCACAAUUGGUAGAGCAACUGACUUACUUUUUGUAAGAGAAGCAGUAGAUCUCCCCCAUAUGAGCUUCGACUCUUGAUGCCGGCACCA